UUAAGUUAGAAAGGGCGCACGGUGAAUGCCUUGGCACUAGGAGCCGAUGAAGGACGGGACUAACACCGAUAUGCUUCGGGGAGCUGUAAGUGAGCUUUGAUCCGGAGAUUUCCGAAUGGGGAAACCCACUGUUCGUAAUGGAACAGUAUCUUUAUCUGAAUACAUAGGAUAUUGAAGGCAGACCCGGGGAACUGAAACAUCUAAGUACCCGGAGGAAGAGAAAGCAAAUGCGAUUUCCUGAGUAGCGGCGAGCGAAACGGAAUUAGCCCAAACCAAGAGGCUUGCCUCUUGGGUUGUAGGACACUCUAUACGGAGUUACAAAGGAACGAAGUAAAUGAAGCGACCUGGAAAGGUCCGUCGAAGAAGGUAACAACCCUGUAGUUGAAACUUCGUUCCCUCUUGAGUGGAUCCUGAGUACGGCGGAACACGUGAAAUUCCGUCGGAAGCUGGGAGGACCAUCUCCCAAGGCUAAAUACUACCUAGUGACCGAUAGUGAACCAGUACCGUGAGGGAAAGGUGAAAAGCACCCCGGAAGGGGAGUGAAGAGAUCCUGAAACCGUGUGCCUACAAGUAGUCAGAGCCCGUUAACGGGUGAUGGCGUGCCUUUUGUAGAAUGAACCGGCGAGUUACGAUCCCAUGCAAGGUUAAGCUGAUAAGGCGGAGCCGUAGCGAAAGCGAGUCUGAAUAGGGCGUUUAGUAUGUGGUUGUAGACCCGAAACCAGGUGAUCUACCCAUGUCCAGGGUGAAGUUCAGGUAACACUGAAUGGAGGCCCGAACCCACGCACGUUGAAAAGUGCGGGGAUGAGGUGUGGGUAGCGGAGAAAUUCCAAUCGAACCUGGAGAUAGCUGGUUCUCUCCGAAAUAGCUUUAGGGCUAGCCUCAUGUUGUGAGAGUCUUGGAGGUAGAGCACUGAUUGGACUAGGGGCCCCCAACGGGUUACCGAAUUCAGUCAAACUCCGAAUGCCAAAGACUUAUCCAUGGGAGUCAGACUGCGAGUGAUAAGAUCCGUAGUCAAAAGGGAAACAGCCCAGACCACCAGCUAAGGUCCCCAAGUAUACGUUAAGUGGAAAAGGAUGUGGAGUUGCUUAGACAACCAGGAUGUUGGCUUAGAAGCAGCCACCAUUUAAAGAGUGCGUAAUAGCUCACUGGUCGAGUGACUCUGCGCCGAAAAUGUACCGGGGCUAAACGUAUCACCGAAGCUGUGGAUUGACAUCUUUGAUGUCAGUGGUAGGAGAGCGUUCUAAGUGCAGUGAAGUCAGACCGUAAGGACUGGUGGAGCGCUUAGAAGUGAGAAUGCCGGUAUGAGUAGCGAAAGACAAGUGAGAAUCUUGUCCACCGAAUGCCUAAGGUUUCCUGAGGAAGGCUCGUCCGCUCAGGGUUAGUCGGGACCUAAGCCGAGGCUGAAAAGCGUAGGCGAUGGCCAACAGGUUGAUAUUCCUGUACCACCUCCCCGCCGUUUGAGUAAUGGGGGGACGCAGUAGGAUAGGGUAAGCGCGCUGCUGGAUAUGCGCGUUCAAGCAGUUAGGCUGAUGAGUAGGCAAAUCAAGUCAUCUUAAACGGUUUAGAUUCACUUUUAUCGAUUGUUCAAAUGCCAGGCGGCGUACCGGUAGCUACAGUAGCUAUUGGAAAAGCUGGUUCUACGAACGCUGGGUUGCUAGCAGCACAAAUCUUAGCAACACAGGAUCCAACGUUAAGUGAUCAACUUGAAAAUCGUAGAGAGUCUAUUAAAUCAUCUGUGUUAGAAAGUAGUGAUCAACUUGUCUAAUUUACUUAUACCUCCUGGUAAAACAAUUGGAAUCGUAGGCGGUGGACAGCUUGGGAGAAUGAUUGCACUAUCUGCUAAAGAAAUGGGUUAUUACAUUGCAGUGCUUGAACCAACAGAAGAUUCUCCUUGCGGUCAAGUAGCAGAUAUUAAAGUCAUUGGCAACUAUGAUGAUAGAAAAGCGGUUGAAAAGCUUGCUGAAGUGUCAGAUGUCAUCACCUAUGAAUUUGAAAACGUUGAUGUUGAGAUGAUGAAAUGGCUAGAAACAAAAUGCUACGUGCCACAGGGCAGUCAUUUACUAGCCGUUACACAAAAUCGCCGUUUAGAAAAAGAAAUGAUUACAAAGCUUAAUCUAGACGUUCCUGACUAUGCAAUCGUUACGACUGAAGAAGAACUUUUAAAAGCUGUCGAAACAAUUGGUUAUCCUUGUGUUGUAAAAACUUGCCGAGGCGGAUAUGACGGUAAAGGGCAAGUUCUAGUGAAAAAUGAAAAUAAUAUUCGUGAAGCAGCUGAGCUAUUAGCGCAAUCAGAAUGUAUUGUAGAACAGUGGAUGAAUUUAGAUAAAGAAGUAUCAGUUAUUGUGCACCGCAAUGCAAAAGGCGAAACGGUAUGUUUACCAGUAGCUGAGAACAUUCAUAAGCAUCAUAUUUUACACCAAACAAUUGUUCCAGCACGUAUUACAGCAGAUCAAGAAGCGAAAGCUCUUCAAUAUGCGCAGGAAAUAGCAAAAGGAUUAGAUUUAGUUGGUACGUUAGCAGUUGAGAUGUUUCUAACUAAAGAAGGUCAGAUUUAUAUAA
rnacentral:rRNA from 1 species